CACAGGAGCCAUUUUACAAUUCAUCACGUCCUGUGCGGGUGGUCCAUCGCUCUGGUCCAUGUUAUCUGCAUUCUGGGAUCCAGCCUAAGGGAGCAUAUCUGAAACAUUCCAGUCUCUUGACAAAAGGUAAAGAGAACAUGGUGAACCCUCACAAUGUGUUUAAAACUUAUGCUCUGAUGUGUAAGACAUCACUUUCACUCAUACUUCUUUGGACUAA
rnacentral:lncRNA from 1 species